rnacentral:misc_RNA from 1 species
GAACUGCGAUAAGUAGUGUGAAUUGCAGAAUUCAGUGAAUCAUCAAACCCUUGAACGUACAUGGCGCCCAGUGGCAACGCUGGGCACGCCUGUUUGAGCCUCGGUUUUCAACCUCACAACCACCCAGGUGGUAGUGGAAAUGGGGAUUGCUGUUGCGGCAUUCCCUCAAAUCGAGCUGCUGGGCUCGGGAGGUCAAGCUCCAAACCGAACCAAAUCACCAGUUUCUGACGGCCUCACGGUCUCUUUUUCUGGCUUGGCUCGUUCUCUUGGCGCCCCUCUCGGUCAACCCUGCACGAAGUGCGCUCGACGCACCCUUCAAACUUUCGAGCUCAAAUCAGGCGAGACUACCCGCUGAAUUUAAGC